GACAGAGGUGCCGAGCGUUAGGCGGAAUCACUGGGCUUAAAGCGUGUGUAGGCGGGUGCCUAAGUACCUUGUGAAAUCCCACGGCUCAACCGUGGAACUGCUUGGUAUACUGGGUGCCUUGAGCUAUCUAGGGGCAACUGGAACAAACGGUGGAGCGGUGAAAUGCGUAGAUAUCGUGGAGAACACCCGUGGCGAAGGCGGGCUUCUGGCUAAUGACUGACGCUGAGGUGCGAAAGCUAGGGGAGCGAACGGG
rnacentral:rRNA from 1 species